rnacentral:lncRNA from 1 species
GUUCCUCUCCGUUGCGAGCAGGCUGAAAGAUUGAUCUGAUUUGUUUUCAUCUCUGCUGACAGGGGCCUUAGGGAAUUGCCAGCGAUCUACAACCUGGCGAAAUGAAUGCAGUGACUUAUGAGGACGUGCAUGUGAACUUCACUCAAGAGGAGUGGGCUCUGCUGGAUCCUUCUCAGAAGACACUCUACAAAGAUGUCAUGCUGGAGACCUACAGGAACCUCAGUGCUUUAGGUACAUUUGUGAAUUCCCUUUCCUGAUUUAAAAUAUAAGAAAACAAUUUUUCUUUUGAUGCACUUCUGUAGUUUCAAUAAAAAUGAAGGAAGGAUUUGGUGAAUAAAUCAUGCAUGACUAUAAGGUU